GUAAAUGUUUCCACAGAGCAAGGAGCUUCACAAGAAGAACCAAUGGAUUGUGCAGAGCAAGGAGCUUCACAAGAAGAACCAAUGGAUUGUGCAGAGCAAGGAGCUUCACAAGAAGAACCAAUGGAUUAUGAAG